GCUACAAAAUCUUUCUUUUUCAUAAUUUUAAUAUUAAAUUAAAUCUCAAUCUACAUGAAAAUAUACAUUGUGAUUUAUACCAAAUAUUUUUCCUUAUCUUUUAGAUUAAUCUACAGCGUGUAAGAAAAAAACAUUAAAUAAAAAAUCGUACUUGUUAUAAAUUUACACUUGUUAUACUUUACAAGAAGAUGUAGUCUAUGCUAAUACUUUUGUACGACAUUGGAUUGAAGUACCAUAAUUCCAAUAACCGACCGACUGACAAGUACAGUGAAAAGGAAAAGUAUAAAUGUAUAAAAGAAAAAAACAUCAACGAGACAUGUAAAUGUAUCAUACAUUUGCCACGAUGUAGAAUUAUUAAAUAAAAGAAAAGAAAGAAAACAA
rnacentral:lncRNA from 1 species